AUUGGGUAAUGUUUGGGCAUAAGAACACCCGCAGGAGGAAGGGGCACUCCGUGACGUCCAGGGAGUGGACUACAAUUCCUAUCAUGCCGUUUUCCAAAAAUAGCAAAAAUAAAACAACAGCAAUACAAAUUCAAAACCAAACAGAAGAAAUUGACUUCCCCCUAGUCCCUUCCUUGGUUCCAUUAUUUAUCAGCAUUCCACAUGUCCGUUGUAAAUUUAAAAACCAUUAAAAUUACUUAUUGUUCAUUCAUAAUAAAAUUACAAGUAGUCCUUGAACCUUGCUAAUGUAUUAACUUGUGUACAUUGCUUCUGUAUAUAUGCAAUAAAGUCCUUCCAAUCUUCUUUAAA